GACGAACGCUGGCGGCGUGCUUAACACAUGCAAGUGGAGCGACGAACCGGGGCUUGCCCCGGGCAGAGCCGCGAACGGGUGAGUAACACGUGGGUAACCCACCCCGAUGACCGGGACAACCCGAGGAAACUCGGGCUAAUACCGGAUGUGCUCCUUGACCUCGAGGUCAAGGCGUAAAAGAUAGCUUCGGCCUUCGCAUCGGGACGGGCCCGCGGCCCAUUAGCUUGUUGGUGGGGUAAAGGCCUACCAAGGCGACGAUGGGUAGCUGGUCUGAGAGGACGAUCAGCCACACUGGGACUGAGACACGGCCCAGACUCCGUACGGGAGGCAGCAGUGGGGAAUCUUGCGCAAUGCGCGAAAGCGUGACGCAGCAACGCCGCGGUGGGGAAGA
rnacentral:rRNA from 1 species